rnacentral:lncRNA from 1 species
AAUGUUAGAGUUCCCUCACCAAUGUGCCUAGCACUGUGUCAUGUAUUAUAAAGGACGUUGAAAAGAUGAAGUUCAUCACCUUGUGGAAGAAGCAGACACGUUUUAGAAGCAAAGAAACAAUACAGAGUUAAUAUGGAGAACAGAGGAUGAGAUAGGGGAAAGAAAAAGGCAGCUGCUGACAGGCAGGAGCUGGCCUGGCAUGUCCAGCUAGUCUCUCCCGCUGUCCUCCUGAACAGGAACAAUUUCACAAAUGAUAAACGUCAGACAAGGACCACUCUGCAGCUAAUGAUGGAGCAAGACAAACACAAGACUGGCCUAUAAUUGUGUCUGAGCACAAACAAAAGCAAGAACAUUGUCCAAAGCAUAAGCAUCAUAAAAUUUCUUUAUUUCCUGCCUUAUGCCUGCUUCUUUAUCAAUAAUAAUAAUAAUAAUAAAUAAAGUAGAGUUUUAGGUCAACUUCAUUCCUCUUGACCCCUAGAUAAGCCCUAGUCAUGUAUGUGGCCCCCCUUCCUGACAUAUCCAAUCCCUGCUUCCUUGAAACCUCCUCCACAGUGUGCGGCACAAGCCCAAAUCCUGCAAGAAGCUCCUGCUCAGUCUCUUACAGAGAUGCCUGAUGGUUCUCUAUGGUG